UGGAAAGUAAUAUUUUAAAUGAUGAUGUCAACAACUCUCAAGCAGAACCCAAAGGAGGUAAAACAAGUAACAAAUGAAGUAUCCUUGAAACGAAUGAAUGGAUCUUGUAUAUGAAUACAUCAAAAAACAUGAAUGUGUAUAAUCUACAUGGGGAAAAUCAGGAUAACGUCAUAAUACUGUACCUCUUUCCUUAUAAGCAAAUCCAAGAUUACUCAUUAGACGGGAAAUCUCAUUCUUUUCAUUUUAAUAAUGUUUUAAGUUAAAUAAUUCUAAAUUUUUGUUAUUAAAAUUGUUCUUAAUGAAAAAACGCACGUAAAGAAAUCUUCUAUAGUGUUUAUA